GUAAAGUAGAAGUGGCUGGAAUAAGUAGUGUAGCGGUGAAAUGCAUAGAUAUUACUUAGAACACCAAUUGCGAAGGCAGGUCACUAUGUUUUAACUGACGCUGAUGGACGAAAGCGUGGGGAGCGAACAGGAUUAGAUACCCUGGUAGUCCACGCCGUAAACGAUGCUAACUCGUUUUUGGGCUUUAGGGUUCAGAGACUAAGCGAAAGUGAUAAGUUAGCCACCUGGGGAGUACGUUCGCAAGAAUGAAACUCAAAGGAAUUGACGGGGGCCCGCACAAGCGGUGGAUUAUGUGGUUUAAUUCGAUGAUACGCGAGGAACCUUACCAAGGCUUAAAUGGGAAUUGACAGGUUUAGAAAUAGACUUUUCUUCGGACAAUUUUCAAGGUGCUGCAUGGUUGUCGUCAGCUCGUGCCGUGAGGUGUUAGGUUAAGUCCUGCAACGAGCGCAACCCCUGUCACUAGUUGCCAUCAUUCAGUUGGGGACUCUAGUGAGACUGCCUACGCAAGUAGAGAGGAAGGUGGGGAUGACGUCAAAUCAUCACGGCCCUUACGCCUUGGGCCACACACGUAAUACAAUGGCCAGU
rnacentral:rRNA from 4 species